GGUUUGCACCUGAACCCGACAUUGCAGGGGAACCAUUUCUACAUCAGAUUGACUAAUUUUUGCUUGUUUUUGGACCCGACAUUGUAGGGGAACCAUUUCGACAUCAGAUUGAGUUUUGAACUUGAACCCGUCAUCGUAGAGGAACCAUUUCUGCGUCAGAUUGUAAGAAUUUAAUUUUUUUAUCAUGUUAAUCAAAAUUUUUUGUGAUUAACUCACAAAAGAGCAACAAAAGUUGCAUUUUUGUGUUUCGAAGGGCUAUUUUUUUCUUGUUUUGCACCUGAAUCCGACAUCGUAGAAAAGCCAUUUCUACAUCAGAUUGUAAGUAUUUAUUUUCUUUAUUAUGCUUAUCAAUUCUUUUUGUGAUUAACUUGCGAGAGAGCAACAAAUAUUGAAUUUUUGUGUUUGGAAGCACUGACUUGUUGUUUUAGGGCUUUAGAAAAUAAACGAAAGCUGGCAGGCAAGUCAUACUAGCAUCAAAGUGUAAGUAUUGUAAUUCUUUAUUAUAUUAAUGGCAUAGUUUUGUGAUUUUCACACGCUAAAGCCAAAAAAUGGCACUUUUGUGUUUUGAAGCACUAAUUUCUGUUGGUUUUUGUGGUCUUGAAAUUGUAGAAUUCCUUGCAGGAUAGUAAUUCUUGCAUCAGAUUGUAAGUAUUUAAUUGUUUGUCAUUUUCAUGAACAACUUCUAUAUUUAGUUCACAAAAGAGUGAUAACAAUUGCAUUUUCUGUGUUUUGAAACGCUGAUUUUGCUUAUUUUAUAAUACCAGUCAUUUGGGCUUGUUUUACUGUUAUAUAUAACAUGGAUCGUUAGUUUGGUAUUUUUGAAAUAAUAAAACGGAGAGGGAAGAUAUUAAGACCUGAUCCUGCUAGCGGUAGAGCGAGACAGAUAUACUCUGAAAUGUCAUGUGUAAUCAAUGUGAUCUAUAUGAUCCGGGGAAAUUUCAACACUUUGUUUAUGUUUUCAGUUCGUAGUGGCUUGCGUAGCACGUUGAAAUUGGAUAUAAUUUGCGCACCUACUGUUAUUACUGUUGAAUUACAGGUUUCUGUUUACUUCUAGUCUAACUUGGCAAUGUGCAUUCGUGUUGAAUGUUGUUUCUUUCCGUUUAGUUGGUUUAGUUGCGCAGUUGUGAGGUGAGCACGUGUUCUCAUUCUUCGUCGGUUUUCAUCGCAACUGUUAGCGUUUCUCGAGAUUUAAAACGGUAGAAGCAUUAGAAUCGUUUGGUCAUCGACUACUGGCUAAGUGAUUUUUGGCGAAUCAACUCUAGAUUUAAGAGACUUUACCUCGUGCGUGUGUGAAUGCCAUUGGUCGUUGGAUCUCAUCCGUGAGGCUACGGAUUCCAAUUGGAAUUAUUGGUGAAAAUGGUUCAAUUGUUAAUUCGCGGGAAUAAAUCACAUGUUUUCCCCCCUGGUUGCCAGUGCAAAAUUAAUACAUCAAUUCUACCAGCAAUUCUACUUCGUGCGAUUUAAAACUUCAUUGAUGGAACCACAAAGGAGUAUGUAAGGUCAAAUAAAAAAUUACCUGUGUUCAACUGUUUUUAAAUUACAAGUAAUUAUUUCUACGGGAUUUGAAAACCGUCGAUGAUUUUUUGUUUAUAAAAUUGUAUAUAUUUUUAAAUGUUGUCAAUAAAACGCAAUGUAAUAUUAUAA